rnacentral:tRNA from 1 species
GCGGGAUUGGUUUAGUGGUAGAAUAACGCACUUCCAAUGCGUAGACAGGAGUUCGAUUCUCCUAUCCCGCA